UGCAUUCACUACUGUAAGUCACUUUGGAUAAGAGCGUCUGCUAAAUGACUAAAA
rfam:Salmo salar isolate Sally breed double haploid chromosome ssa20, whole genome shotgun sequence.